AUGGCUGUCGUCAGCUCGUGUCGUGAGAUGUUGGGUUAAGUCCCGCAACGAGCGCAACCCUUGUCAUUAGUUGCUACAUUCAGUUGGGCACUCUAAUGAGACUGCCGGUGACAAACCGGAGGAAGGUGGGGAUGACGUCAAGUCCUCAUGGCCCUUAUGGGUAGGGCUUCACACGUAAUACAAUGGCGCGUACAGAGGGUUGCUAAGCCGCGAGGUAGAGCCAAUCCCUUAAAGCGCGUCGUAGUCCGGAUUGCAGUCUGCAACUCGACUGCAUGAAGUCGGAAUCGCUAGUAAUCGCGGAUCAGCAUGUCGCGGUGAAUACGUUCCCGGGUCUUGUACACACCGCCCGUCACACCAUGGGAGUGGGUUUCACCAGAAGCCGGUCGCCUAACCGCAAGGGGGGCGCCGACCACGGUGAGAUUCAUGACUGGGGUGAAGUCGUAACAAGGUAGCCGUAUCGGGAGGUGCGGCUGGAUCACCUCCUUUCUAAGAUAAGCACUCGUUCAGUGCCCACCCUCUAUCGGCUGUUAUUUGAAGCGACAGCCGUUUCAUUGUUGACCACACACCGGGGUCUGUAGCUCAGUUGGUUAGAGCACCGUCUUGAUAAGGCGGGGGUCGAUGGUUCGAAUCCAUCCAGACCCACCAGACGACCGAGCCGGGCGCGCAGCGCGCGGGAAGCGCGCGAGACUCACGAGAAAUCACGGGGGCCAUAGUUCAGCUGGGAGAACGCCUGCUUUGCAAGCAGGAGGUCACCGGUUCGAUCCCGGUUGGCUCCACCAGCAAGACCAAGGCGCGAGGCACGAGAGGGACCAGCAAUCAAGUCACGCCAGGGCGCGUGGAUUGAUUGGUGUUUCUUCCACAGGAACAUCGAUCGGCUGCUCUUUAACAAUUCGGGAUGGAAGGUAAAGUUGUUCUCAUGUGGGAGAGGUGCCUGUGGAUUGGGCAUGCUCGCGCAUGAGGGCUAACUGGGUUAUGUAUUGCAUUGUGUCUUCAUCAUGAAAGUGGUGGAGGCGCUCAAGCAUUGAAGCGUGAGAAUUUCUUAUUUCUUUGUGAUGCCUUGGGGGACUUUGCCCUGGGGUGCUUCUUCUCUAAAGGAGGAGGCGGCAAGGUUAUAGGGUCAAGCGAAUAAGUGCAUGUGGUGGAUGCCUUGGCAAUGAUAGGCGACGAAGGACGUGACAGCCUGCGAUAAGCUGCGGGGAGCCGGCAAAUGGGCGCUGAUCCGCAGAUUUCCGAAUGGGGAAACCCGG
rnacentral:sRNA from 1 species